ensembl:lncRNA
AUGGAUGGGUGGCAUGGACGGCUGGCAUGACAGGUGGCAUAGACAGGUGGCAUGGAUGGGUGGCAUGGCAGGUGGCAUGGAUGGAAUGGAUGGGUGGAAUGGAUGGGUGGCAUGGCAGGUGGCAUGGACGGCUGGGAUGGGUGGGUGGCAUGGACAGGUGGCAUGAUGGGUGGCAUGAUGGGUGGCAUGAACUGCAUAAUAGAUGUAUAGUAGGAAAAUACUAUUAUGUGGUACUUAACAGCACCAUAAACAGUGUCGGUGUGUCCUCACACUGAAGGAGAACAGUCUUUUAUUCUAGCAUGAUGUGGUGUG